UUGGAAGCUAUCUUUCAUCCAAUAAUGUGGUUGAUUUCUGAGUCCCUUCAACCAGACCCAGAAACAGCAAGAACUUGGAAGCAGACCUCUACGGGAGAGAGAUCCCAGGGUCAUAACAAGGCACCUGCCAUUCAUUCAUUCUUCAGAAUCUGAACUAUGUCCACCCACUUCAGCUGGCAAAACAAGGAAUAUGCAUGAACCAUGACUGCUAAAAACAGCACCUUCCCGCUGAAAGAGCAGCAUCUCCCCAGAAAUUUGCACAGCAGCCAUUCUACAAGAGUUCCACAAGUUUUUGAAAAUGUAGCUGUGCUCACUGCAGCGAGGUUAUUAAGUGGAAAGGUCCAGCUCUACUACAAUGGAGGAAUGGUGAUUGGUGAAGCAGCAUCCAGAACAAGACAAGAAAUUCCUAGAAGUUGAGAGUUUCAAAGGCACCUGUGAUUGGAGGAGGAAGAAUGAACCCAUCCAGAGCAAUAAGGCAGGCUUCAGAUGCAGCAGACAUUCAAAGAUGGUGAGGUCCUCAGCUUAUGAGAGAUUUUUCCAGUAGAAGGCUGGGAUAUGUGUGUGUGCGUGUGUACACUCAUAAUCCACCUAGAGAUUCAGCUAUAAAUUCAAAGGCAGCACACAAGCAUCCCUACCUUCUUGUUAGUGGAAGUAGAAAACAUUUCCCUUUUAAAGAACCAUAUUCUUUCCCCAUAUUUUAUGCAUCCUUUCUGCAUGCAUAUUAUGCACCUUCACAUUUCUGAACACUUCCAGAUUAGACCUACAUCUAGGCCCCUGAGGCUCACAUAAAAUCCUGCUGCACACCUUUCAGUGCUAUAAAACAAGUCCUCCAGCAGUACCAGACGCCCUAAUAUAGAGACUGUUAUGUCCCGAGACUUGCAAACGGCUCGGGCAUUUGCAGGCAGUCACGGGCAGGUGCAAAGCUGCCCGGGACCAGAC